rnacentral:lncRNA from 1 species
GGUUUAAAAACCUAAACCGGUGUUAGGAGCCGGAACCGGAUUUAAGAGACCGAAUCUGGUUGAUACUAAAUUUUAGAACUUAAGCACUAUGGAGAUGCAAAAGAGGAUAAUGUCUAUGAACCAAAAAUAUUAAAAUGAUUAGACUAAACGGAGUGGGGGUGUCAAACUUACUCGCCAGCUCACCAGCGAUCCAGGAACACCGUCCCCAAGCUCUUGCUAGGAGGGUCGCCACUCAUGCCUCGUUACAGAUUUGGCGAGAAGAGGGAGAGACUGAGGGAGCAAUUCAAUUGGUAAAAAAUCCCCCAAAUCUCCAUCACAAAACCACACAGAGUCAUCUUCAUCUAGGUAAUCCCAAAUUUCAAUUCUCAACACUUGGAUUACACUUUAACCUUGUUUAAUUUGAUAGUUUUUGUAUGUGGGAAAUCAUGAACCUUCAAAGUUAAUGACAACAAUCAACCGCAAAGCUUGCUUUGGUAACAAUGGCAGGUGGGGUCUUAACAUUUGGAUCAAUCGAUCCAGCUUUCACAGCAAAAUCCGGCGGCCGGUCGGUUGUCAGGCGUUCGGUUCUGCCCCAAAUCAAUCGGCACCUCGUUCGUCUUCACCAAGAAUCAAUAACUCAAGGUAAUUUCUGGGUUAUAUAUAAGGUAAUUUAUAGGUUACAUAUUCUCUAUAACAAAGUGAUUUGAUGUUUAUUUAUGUGGUGGCAGAACCAAUAUUUAGAUCAACCCACCGGUUGCACCACCGCUGAUCAGUGGAUACAAUUGUGGGUAUGGUGGUUGGGGGUGGUCGUCGUUUUCAUUCUUUGCACCUGGGCCUAGUGUGCCGGUGGGUUUGAUACCUUGGUGUUUUUUAUGCUUCUUCGUGCUGCAGCAGAUGUCGUUGGAAGGUUCUUUAGAUCCAGGAAUGAUUAUGAUGAUGAAGAUUACUGGUAAAUUUUUGUGUAGAAGACCACACUUAAAUGUAUGAUUAUUUUUAGAUGUAUAGAUCACAUAACAGGGUGAAUAUCACUUGAUAAACUUGAUGUUGAUAUAAAUUUGAUUCGAGUACGAGGAGUGUUAUCAAUCCCUAAAUGUUAAAUGUUAAAGUUAAAUGAGAAAAAAAUAAAAAAUAACUCAAAAAGUU